rnacentral:rRNA from 1 species
CCAGACUCCUACGGGAGGCAGCAGUGGGGAAUAUUGCACAAUGGGGGAAACCCUGAUGCAGCGACGCCGCGUGAGUGAAGAAGCGCCUCGGCGCGUAAAGCUCUGUCAGCAGGAACGAUAAUGACGGUACCUGAAGAAGAAGCCCCGGCUAACUACGUGCCAGCAGCCGCGGUAAUACGUAGGGGGCAAGCGUUAUCCGGAUUUACUGGGUGUAAAGGGAGCGUAGGCGGCGAUGCAAGUCAGAAGUGAAAGCCCGGGGCUCAACUCCGGGACUGCUUUUGAAACUGUAUGGCUAGAUUGCAGGAGAGGCAAGUGGAAUUCCUAGUGUAGCGGUGAAAUGCGUAGAUAUUAGGAGGAACACCAGUGGCGAAGGCGGCUUGCUGGACUGUAAAUGACGCUGAGGCUCGAAAGCGUGGGGAGCAAACAGGAUUAGAUACCCCGGUAAC